rnacentral:rRNA from 1 species
GACGUAGGGGGCGAGCGUUGUCCGGAUUUAUUGGGCGUAAAGCGCGCGCAGGCGGUUCGGAAAGUCGGAUGUGAAACUCCGGGGCUCAACCCCGGACCUGCAUCCGAUACUCCCGGACUGGAGGCAGGUAGGGGAGAGCGGAAUUCCCGGUGUAGCGGUGAAAUGCGCAGAUAUCGGGAAGAACACCGGUGGCGAAGGCGGCUCUCUGGGCCUGUCCUGACGCUCAGGCGCGAAAGCUAGGGGAGCGAACAGG